rnacentral:rRNA from 1 species
AGCUACUACGGUAGUGAAGUCAUUGAUGCCAUGCUUCCAGGAAAAGCCUCUAAGCUUCAGAUUGUAAGGAAUCGUACCCCAAACCGACACAGGUGGUCGGGUAGAGAAUACCAAGGCGCUUGAGAGAACUCGGGUGAAGGAACUAGGCAAAAUGGUACCGUAACUUCGGGAGAAGGUACGCUCUUGAUGGUGAAGUCCCUCGCGGAUGGAGCUGAUGAGAGUCGCAGAUACCAGGUGGCUGCAACUGUUUAUUAAAAACACAGCACUGUGCAAAAUCGUAAGAUGACGUAUACGGUGUGACGCCUGCCCGGUGCCGGAAGGUUAAUUGAUGGGGUUAGCGUAAGCGAAGCUCUUGAUCGAAGCCCCGGUAAACGGCGGCCGUAACUAUAACGGUCCUAAGGUAGCGAAAUUCCUUGUCGGGUAAGUUCCGACCUGCACGAAUGGCGUAAUGAUGGCCACGCUGUCUCCACCCGAGACUCAGUGAAAUUGAAAUCGCUGUGAAGAUGCAGUGUACCCGCGGCUAGACGGAAAGACCCCGUGAACCUUUACUACAGCUUGGCACUGAACAUUGAACCUACAUGUGUAGGAUAGGUGGGAGGCUUUGAAGACGUGACGCUAGUUGCGUUGGAGCCGUCCUUGAAAUACCACCCUUGUAUGUUUGAUGUUCUAACUUAGCCCCGUUAUCCGGGGUGAGGACAGUGCCUGGUGGGUAGUUUGACUGGGGCGGUCUCCUCCCAAAGAGUAACGGAGGAGCACGAAGGUGGGCUAAUCACGGUUGGACAUCGUGAGGUUAGUGCAAUGGCAUAAGCCCGCUUAACUGCGAGAAUGACGGUUCGAGCAGGUGCGAAAGCAGGUCAUAGUGAUCCGGUGGUUCUGUAUGGAAGGGCCAUCGCUCAACGGAUAAAAGGUACUCCGGGGAUAACAGGCUGAUACCGCCCAAGAGUUCAUAUCGACGGCGGUGUUUGGCACCUCGAUGUCGGCUCAUCACAUCCUGGGGCUGAAGUCGGUCCCAAGGGUAUGGCUGUUCGCCAUUUAAAGUGGUACGCGAGCUGGGUUUAGAACGUCGUGAGACAGUUCGGUCCCUAUCUGCCGUGGGCGUUGGAAGAUUGAAGGGGGCUGCUCCUAGUACGAGAGGACCGGAGUGGACGAACCUCUGGUGUUCGGGUUGUGUCGCCAGACGCAUUGCCCGGUAGCUAAGUUCGGAAUCGAUAACCGCUGAAAGCAUCUAAGCGGGAAGCGAGC